CCUACGGGAGGCAGCAGUGGGGGAUAUUGCACAAUUGAGGAAACUCUGAUGCAGCGACGCCGCGUGAGGGAAGACGGUCUUCGGAUUGUAAACCUCUGUCUUUGGGGAGGAAAAUGACGGUACCUAAAGAGGAAGCUCCGGCUAACUACGUGCCAGCAGCCGCGGUAAUACGUAGGGGGCGAGCGUUGUCCGGAAUUACUGGGUGAAAAGGGAGAGUAGGCGGGCGGGCAAGUUGAAUGUUAAAUCUACCGGCUUAACUGGGAGCUGCGUUCGAGACUUCUUGUCUUGAGUGAAGUAGAGGCAGGCAGAAUUCCUAGUGUAGCGGUGAAAUGCGUAGAGAUUAGGAGGAACACCAGUGGCGAAGGCGGCCUGCUGGGCUAUAACUGACGCUGAGGCUCGAAAGCGUGGGGAGCAAACAGGAUUAGAUACCCUGGUAGUC
rnacentral:rRNA from 1 species